GAAUUAAUUAGACUCUUAAACCGGUUAUCUUCUCCCCCUUCUAUUUUUCCAUCACCUUCCCCAGAAAACCGUCAAAACUCCACCGACCCAUGCCCUCCUCUCCAUUGGCUCGCCGACGAGCUCUCGGUCUGUAACCCAGACCGUCAAUGGCUCCCACCACUUCACAAUCAAGGGCUAUUCCUUAGGCAAAUGCAUGGGUGGAUCGAUCUCUUAUCGAUUUCUUAUCGUUCUUAGUCUUAAUCGAUAUUUGUAUUUUUUUAACGGGAAACUUUACAGUUAUACCGGCACAGGAUAUUUCUGGUGCUGGAAUUCUGUUUACACCUGUGCACAAAUGCUUCAAAAGCACGAGGCCAGUUGGGGGAUAUUUUGCCGAGUCAGUCACUGAUCUUGGAGAACUGCAGGCAUUUGUCCGUAUUUUUGGCUGUUAUGGAGUUGAUAGACUAGAUAGGAUGAUGAAAGAGCACACUGCUGCCCUGUUGAAUUGCAUAGACACAUAAUUACGGUCAAACCGUGAAUUGUUAGAAGCAGUUGCCAGCAGCAUUCAUUUUGGUGACAGAAUAGAAAGGGAGGCUUGUUUGAAGCAAAUUAUGGAUUUGGACACAAUAAUCGGUUUUUGCAUUGAGGCAGGACAGGCCUUGGCUUUUGAUAAACUUUUAGCUGAAGUUUCUGGUGCUGUGCUCAAAGUAGGUGCACCUCUAAUUUAUUCAUUGCUUGCCGGAGUAGUUAAGCAUAUACCUGAAGAAAUACCCGAGAAGAGGGAAAUAAGAAGAAUGAGGGGGUCGCAAACAGUGUUGCUCUUGCUGGUGAUCAUGACUCUGAGUGGGUUAGAUCUAUUUUGGAAGAAGUUGGAGGUGCUAAUGAUGGGUCCUGGAGCUUGUUGCCUUAUUUAUUUGCCACUUUCAUGACAUCAAAUAUCUGGAACACAACCGGAUUCAACGUUGACACGGGGGGUUUCAAUAACAAUAUCCAUUGUUUGGCAAGGUGAGUGUCCUUUCUGAUUUUCUUAUAAUUUAAAAA